GGGGGAUUAGCUCAGUUGGGAGAGCGCAUGGCUGGCAGCCAUGAGGUCAUCGGUUCGAACCCGUUAUCCUCCA
rnacentral:tRNA from 1 species